rnacentral:tRNA from 1 species
AAGGCCUGUAAAACUCUAAUCUACAUUUCCUGAAUGCAACUCAUACACUUUUAUUAAGGUAAAACCUC